rnacentral:tRNA from 1 species
GGGGGCGUCGCAUAGCGGUCAAUUGCAAGGGACUGUAAAUCCCUCCUCUUCGGAGUACGUUGGUUCAAAUCCAACCGCCCCCA